rnacentral:rRNA from 1 species
UACGAAGGGGACUAGCGUUGUUCGGAUUUACUGGGCGUAAAGCGCGCGUAGGCGGAUCGCUAAGUCAGGGGUGAAAUCCCAGGGCUCAACCCUGGAACUGCCUUUGAUACUGACGGUCUGGAGAUCGGGAGAGGUUGGUGGAAUUCCGAGUGUAGAGGUGAAAUUCGUAGAUAUUCGGAGGAACACCAGAAGCGAAGGCGGCUCACUGGUCCGGUACUGACGCUGAGGUGCGAAAGCGUGGGGGAGCAAACAGG